rnacentral:sRNA from 14 species
CUUAAACCCACACACGUAUCGACACGGUUUCCUGGGUGCCCGCAAGGGUUGGAAGCUGGGAUACGUGGAGGCCUAAC